AUUGAACGCUGGCGGCAUGCCUUACACAUGCAAGUCGAACGGCAGCACGGGAGCAAUCCUGGUGGCGAGUGGCGAACGGGUGAGUAAUAUAUCGGAACGUGCCCAGUCGUGGGGAUAACGUAGCGAAAGCUACGCUAAUACCGCAUACGAUCUAUGGAUGAAAGCGGGGGAUCGCAAGACCUCGCGCGAUUGGAGCGGCCGAUAUCAGAUUAGGUAGUUGGUGAGGUAAAGGCUCACCAAGCCAACGAUCUGUAGCUGGUCUGAGAGGAUGAUCAGCCACACUGAGACUGAGACACGGUCCAGACUCCUACGGGAGGCAGCAGUGGGGAAUUUUGGGACAAUGGACGCAAGUCUGAUCCAGCCAUUCCGCGUGCAGGAUGAAGGCCCUCGGGUUGUAAACUGCUUUUGUACGGAACGAACGGUGAGCUCUAAUACAGUUUGCUAAU
rnacentral:rRNA from 1 species